rnacentral:rRNA from 1 species
ACGAACGCUGGCGGCGUGCCUAAUACAUGCAAGUGGGACGCAAGGAAACACACUGUGCUUGCACACCGUGUUUUCUUGAGUCGCGAACGGGUGAGUAACGCGUAGGUAACCUGCCUAUUAGCGGGGGAUAACUAUUGGAAACGAUAGCUAAUACCGCAUAAUAUUAAUUAUUGCAUGAUAAUUGAUUGAAAGAUGCAAGCGCAUCACUAGUAGAUGGACCUGCGUUGUAUUAGCUAGUUGGUAAGGUAAGAGCUUACCAAGGCGACGAUACAUAGCCGACCUGAGAGGGUGAUCGGCCACACUGGGACUGAGACACGGCCCAGACUCCUACGGGAGGCAGCAGUAGGGAAUCUUCGGCAAUGGACGAAAGUCUGACCGAGCAACGCCGCGUGAGUGAAGAAGGUUUUCGGAUCGUAAAGCUCUGUUGUAAGUCAAGAACGUGUGUGAGAGUGGAAAGUUCACACAGUGACGGUAGCUUACCAGAAAGGGACGGCUAACUACGUG